UACGGUAGGUGGCAAGCGUUGUCCGGAAUUAUUGGGCGGUAAAGCGCGCGCAGGCGGUCCUUUAAGGUCUGAUGUGAAAGCCCCACGGCUCAACCGUGGAGGGUCAUUGGAAACUGGGGGACUUGAGUGCAGAAGAGGAAAGCGGAAUUCCACGUGUAGCGGUGAAAUGCGUAGAGAUGUGGAGGAACACCAGUGGCGAAGGCGCUUUCUGGUCGUGUAACUGGACGCUGAGACGCGAAAGCGUGGGGAGCGAACAGG
rnacentral:rRNA from 1 species